rnacentral:snRNA from 1 species
AGACAAUCUCAGUUACUCAAUCCAACUCUGAGGGGUGAUGGCCUUCCAUUGCACUUAGGUGGGCUUGAACCCCUCCUUUAUCCCAAAUGUGGAUAACUGGAUAGCAUCAUUUCUGGUAGUGGAGAUCUGAAGGUGCGCUAAUCCCCU